AACGAACGCUGGCGGCAUGCCUAACACAUGCAAGUCGAACGAAGCCUUCGGGCUUAGUGGCGCACGGGUGCGUAACGCGUGGGAAUCUGCCCUUGGGUUCGGAAUAACAGUUAGAAAUGACUGCUAAUACCGGAUGAUGUCUUCGGACCAAAGAUUUAUCGCCCAAGGAUGAGCCCGCGUAGGAUUAGGUAGUUGGUGGGGUAAUGGCCCACCAAGCCGACGAUCCUUAGCUGGUCCGAGAGGAUGAUCAGCCACACUGGGACUGAGACACGGCCAAGACUCCUACGGGAGGCAGCAGUGGGGAAUACUGGACAAUGGGCGAAAGCCUGAUCCAGCAAUGCCGCGUGAGUGAUGAAGGCCUUAGGGUUGUAAAGCUCUUUACCAGGGAUGAUAAUGACAGUACCUGGAAAAUAAGCUCCGGCUAACUCCGUGCCAGCCGCCGCAGUAAGAC
rnacentral:rRNA from 1 species